rnacentral:rRNA from 1 species
AGUGAACGCUGGCGGUAGGCCUAACACAUGCAAGUCGAACGGCAGCACAGUAAGAGCUUGCUCUUACGGGUGGCGAGUGGCGGACGGAUGAGGAAUACAUCGGAAUCUACUUUUUCGUGGGGGAUAACGUAGGGAAACUUACGCUAAUACCUCAUACGACCUACGGGUGAAAGCAGUGGAUCUUCGGACCUUGCGCGAUUGAAUGAGCCGAUGUCGGAUUAGCUAGUUGGCGGGGUAAAGGCCCACCAAGGCGACGAUCCGUAGCUGGUCUGAGAGGAUGAUCAGCCACACUGGAACUGAGACACGGUCCAGACUCCUACGGGAGGCAGCAGUGGGGAAUAUUGGACAAUGGGCGAAAGCCUGAUCCAGCCAUACCGCGUGGGUGAAGAAGGCCUUCGGGUUGUAAAGCCCUUUUGUUGGGAAAGAAAAGCAGCAGGUUAAUACCCCGCUGUUCUGACGGUACCCAAAGAAUAAGCACCGGCUAACUUCGUG